rnacentral:misc_RNA from 1 species
UCAAACUUGGUCAUUUAGAGGAAGUAAAAGUCGUAACAAGGUUUCCGUAGGUGAACCUGCGGAAGGAUCAUUAACGAAGUAUAAGGAGGGUUGUAGCUGCCUUGAAAGAGGAUGUGCACACCUUUCAAUCUUCCAUAACCACCUGUGCACCCUUACAUGGGAUUGUGGUGUAACGAAUGGCUUGCUGUUUGUUGCUUUGCAAUCCUAUGUCUUUUAUACACUCUAUAAAUUUUGAAUGGUUGUCUAACGGAUUGUAAUGAUCUGUUAUAAAUUAAAUACAACUUUCAGCAACGGAUCUCUUGGCUCUCGCAUCGAUGAAGAACGCAGC